rnacentral:rRNA from 1 species
AACGAACGCUGGCGGCAUGCCUAACACAUGCAAGUCGAACGAGACCUUCGGGUCUAGUGGCGCACGGGUGCGUAACGCGUGGGAACCUGCCCUUAGGUUCGGAAUAACUCCCCGAAAGGGGUGCUAAUACCGGAUAAUGUCUUCGGACCAAAGAUUUAUCGCCUUUGGAUGGGCCCGCGUUGGAUUAGCUAGUUGGUAGGGUAAAAGCCUACCAAGGCGACGAUCCAUAGCUGGUCUGAGAGGAUGAUCAGCCACACUGGGACUGAGACACGGCCCAGACUCCUACGGGAGGCAGCAGUGGGGAAUAUUGGACAAUGGGCGAAAGACUGAUCCAGCAAUGCCGCGUGAGUGAUGAAGGCCUUAGGGUUGUAAAGCUCUUUUACCCGGGAUGAUAAUGACAGUACCGGGAGAAUAAGCUACGGCUAACUCCGUG